rnacentral:tRNA from 1 species
GGCCUUGUAGCUCAGUUGGCUAGAGAGUUGGCUGUACUAAAACCUUCACUUUGCUGGCAUGGGUUCGAAUCCCACUAAGGCCA